rnacentral:lncRNA from 1 species
GCGCAAGAUUUUUCUAUGUGAUUUGGAUGCUUGUCGCAGUUUUAUCGACGAUGGGAAGUGUGUGCCGUACUGCCCGCCAACCAUUAUUUACGACUUUCGACAGAUGAUCAACAUAAUAAAUCCCGAUGCCAAGGUUGCAUAUGGCGGCAUCUGCGUUAAAGAAUGUCAAGUAGCCGAAACUUUACAAGGAGAUUCACGGUCUAUGAAGUACAGUUUGGGAGCAACAGCCCCGCAAGAUGACAAAGGUGCCGGACAAUUAUUGCCACGAUAAUUUAUACAGCGACUCACCUGCACGUCCGCAAAGUUGGCUGAGCGGGAGAUAAGGUAGGAAUAUUUUAAUUUAAAUUUUAAAUACCGGUUUUCUAUUUAAAAUGGAAUACUGAAGUCGCGUGGACAGAUCUGCCGUUGAA